rnacentral:rRNA from 1 species
GAUGAACGCUGGCGGCGUGCCUAAUACAUGCAAGUCGAGCGAACGGACGAGAAGCUUGCUUUUCUGAUGUUAGCGGCGGACGGGUGAGUAACACGUGGAUAACCUACCUAUAAGACUGGGAUAACUUCGGGAAACCGGAGCUAAUACCGGAUAAUAUUUUGAACCGCAUGGUUCAAAAGUGAAAGACGGUCUUGCUGUCACUUAUAGAUGGAUCCGCGCUGCAUUAGCUAGUUGGUAAGGUAACGGCUUACCAAGGCAACGAUGCAUAGCCGACCUGAGAGGGUGAUCGGCCGCACUGGAACGGAGACACGGUCCUGACUCCUACGGGAGGCAGCAGUAGGGAAUCUUCCGCAAUGGGCGAAAGCCUGACGGAGCAACGCCGCGUGAGUGAUGAAGGUCUUCGGAUCGUAAAACUCGGUUAUUAGUGAAGAACAUAUGUGUAAGUAACUGUGGACAUCUUGACGGUACCUAAUCAGAAAGCCACGGCUAACUACGUG